CAUUCAAUGGUAUGCUUCCUUUCUUGCAGGAGAAGGAAAUGCAUGAUGGGAGGCAGCAGAAAAAGAGGACAACUAAUGUGCCUUCAAUUCACGGGAACCUGCAUCUUUGAAGUUACAGGACAGAGACCAUGACCAGAGAAAGUUUAAUGAAUUCCUCGUGGAAAUCAAGAUGUUGCUAGACCUGCCAAGCUUUUUCAGUAAUUCAUAUUUCUGUCUCCAUUGAAGACUACACAUUCAGUGUCAGCCAGAUAAGCACACAGACCUAUAAUCCAUUGACGG